AUUGCUAAACACUGUUUCUUCUGAGUUAUGUAUGACAAAAACUGAAUCCAUUGUGCUCGCAAAGCGUGGCGAAACCGUGCUUAAGAGUGAGCCUCUCUAGUCGAAGGUUUAUUUUGCUGUAUGAGUUAUACCACACAACUUGGUUUAUCAAUGAGAAUCUUUUUCAGGGAUUAGGAAGAAGAUUGCGUACAGAACUGCUACAAGUUUGAAAAGAGUCGAGAAAACAAGCUCACAGUAUAGGUAGUAUAAAAAUAGCUGCUACAAUCAUAUCUUUUAUUUUCUUAGCAUUUUGAAAAAUACUCUAAUAAAACUGAUAAGAAAUACAUAAUUAAUGUAUGAAAGUAUUUAUGCUUACCUUGUGGUUGAAAAUAAUCCAAUAAAUUAUUUCUAAUCA